AUUGAACGCUGGCGGCAUGCCUUACACAUGCAAGUCGAACGGUAACGCGGGGCAACCUGGCGACGAGUGGCGAACGGGUGAGUAACGCAUCGGAACGUGCCCAGUAGUGGGGGAUAGCCCGGCGAAAGCCGGAUUAAUACCGCAUACGACCUACGGGUGAAAGCGGGGGAUCGCAAGACCUCGCGCUAUUGGAGCGGCCGAUGUCAGAUUAGGUAGUUGGUGGGGUAAAGGCCUACCAAGCCGACGAUCUGUAGCUGGUCUGAGAGGACGACCAGCCACACAGGGACUGAGACACGGCCCAGACUCCUACGGGAGGCAGCAGUGGGGAAUUUUGGACAAUGGGCGCAAGCCUGAUCCAGCCAUGCCGCGUGCGGGAAGAAGGCCUUCGGGUUGUAAACCGCUUUUGUCAGGGAAGAAACGCGCUGAGUUAAUACCUCGGCGUAAUGACGGUACCUGAAGAAUAAGCACCGGCUAACUACGUGCCAGCCGCCGCGGUAAAAC
rnacentral:rRNA from 1 species